rnacentral:rRNA from 1 species
GGGGUUACGGUUCUGGAGCACUGGUGGUAGUAACAGAGGGUCUGAUUAUGGCUCAGAUUGAACGCUGGCGGGAUGUUUAUAACAUGCAAGUCGAACGGCAGCAGCCUGACUUCUGGUCUGGUGGUUAUGGCGAACGGGUGAGUAAUGUAUCGGAACGUGCCUAGUAGCGGGGGAUAACCACGCGAAAGCGUAGCUAAUACCGCAUACGUUCUUCGGGGAAAGCGGGGACCUUUCGGGCCUCGCAAUUAGAGCGCCGAUAUCGGAUUAGCUAGUUGGUGGGGUAACGGCUCACCAAGGCGACGAUCCGUAGCUGGUUUGAGAGGACGACCAGCCACACCGGGACUGAGACACGGCUCAGACUUCCCGCGGAGGCAGCAGUGGGGAAUUUUGGACAAUGGGGGAAACCCCGAUCCAGUCAUCCCGGCGUGUGCGAUGAAGGCCUGUUAUGUGCCAAUUUUUGGCAGGAAAGAACGGCACGGAAGCACACUGUGCAACUGACGGUACCUGCAGAAUAAGCACCGCUAACUACAUGCGCCAGCAGCCGCGGUAAUACGUGGUGGUGCAAGUGUUAAUCGGAAUUACUGGGCGUAAGCGUGUGCAGGCGGUUCGGAAAGAGAUGUGAAAUCCCAGAGCUUAACUUUGAACUGCAUUUUUAACUACCGAAAGCGAGGUGUGUCAGAGGGAGGUGGAAUUCGCGUGUAGUAUGAAAUGGGAUAUGCCGGAGGAACACCGAUGGCGAAGGCAGCCUCCUGGGGAUAACACUGACGCUCAUGCACGAAAGCGUGGGGAGCAAACAGGAUUAGAUACCCUGUAGUCCACGCCCCAAACGAUGUCAACUAGCUGUUGGGGCCUUCGCCUUGGUAGCGCAGCUAACGCGAAGUUGACCGCCUGGGGAGUACGGUCAAAGAUUAAACUCAAAGGAAUUGACGGGACUCCGCACAAGCGGUGGAUGAUGUGGAUUAAUUCGAUGCAACGCGAAAAACUCCACUCACUCCUUGACAUGUCUGGAAUCCCGAAGAGAUUUGGGAGUGCUCGCAAGAGAACCGGAACACAGGUGCUGCAUGUGGCUGUCGUCAGUUCGUGUCGUGAGAUGUUGGGUUAAGUCCCGCAACGAGCGCAACCUCGUCAUUAGUUGCUACGAAAGCAGCAACUUUAUCAGACUGCCGGUGACAAACCGGAGGAAGGUGGGGAUGACGUCAAGUCCUCAUGGCCCCGAGGGUAGGGCUUCAUAUCGCUUAAGUACAAUGGUCGUGAAGAGACGCCAACCAUGAGGGGGAGCCAAUCCCAGAAACCCGACUGGGAACCGGAUCGUAGUCUGCAACCUGACUGCGUGGAAGCCGGAAAUCGCCAGGACCUGCGGAUCAGCAUGUCGCGGUGAAUACGUUCCCGGUCUUUGUACACACCCGCCCGUCGCUACGGAGUGGGUUUUACCAGAAGUUAAGAAGCCUAACCUCGUAAGGAGGGCGAUUACGACACAGGUAGGAUUCAUGACUGGGGUGAAGUCGUAACAAGGUAA